GCGGCAACCUCUAUUGUCCCUGUGGACUCACGGGAGAGAGGUGGCUAGCUAUUUGAACCAGCCUGCAUACAGGAGAGACUGGGGACUCAAAGUAGGGAAGGAUCAUUUGUGUUUGUUUGUUUGUGUUUUUUUUAGGGAACAGAAGAGGAACAGGAGGAAAGAAGCCAAGACUGAGAAGAGAAAGAUGAAGACCCGGCAUAUUGAACAAAGUGAAAUGAUUCAUGGGCCACAAUUCUAGGAGGAGCCUGAAAUACAAAAACCCUUCAAAUGUCAAUGUAGAAGGAAGUCAUUGACUCCAUCAGGAUUCCAAACUGGUAAGAAACAGAACAUACAGUACAAGGAUGAGCCAUAAAACAGUCAAGGUAUCUGUGUUGUAGCUAUGCCCAUAACCUGACUCUCCCAGAACUGCAAAAAUUCCACAACAAAUAUUAUAACUGAUAGUGGUGUUUUACCUUUUAAAUUCUAUCUUCCUUUCUCUUUAAAUGAAAAAAAAAUCUUUUUUUUUGAGAGAGAGUGCA